rnacentral:lncRNA from 1 species
UAGUUGCUGUUUUUAUGUUAGCCUGUGAGGGAAUGAAGGGAUAAGAAGUUCCGACACUUAUGCUUUUAAGGAAAACAGUUUGGAGGAAAGUACUCUUAAAGGAACCCUGAUGGAUCACCCCAUCUAAAACAAUAACAAAAAAAGCACAGUUAGCUCUUCACAAAUCACACUCUUUCUCCCCCCCCCCUUUUUUUUUGCAUAAUGGUACUAGGGAAAUAUAUUUGUUUCUUUUGCAUCUAGUAAAAAGAGCUACUUAUUUGGAAUAAGCCACAUGUGCUCCUUUCCUUGUUGGUUCUUUUACCUUCUUUCAACAAUUCAAAUAUCAAAUACUACCUGAAGAGUAAGAAAAUAAAACCUAAAGAUUUUUUUAAAAUCCCUUUUACAUAUCCUCUCUAAAAAUUUUGUGAACAGAAAUGGUAAAAUACUUCCCCUGCCAACAUCUCAUAUAUAUGCACAUUUCAAGUAAAAUGACCAAGCUGCUUGGAAAUCAGUGUAUCGUUCCAAAUAACUAGCUCUUUCAACUCAAUAACAGUAUAGGGAGAUUAAGGUUUAUAUUUUCAUUAGAUUAAGUAUUAUAAGUUACAUGUUUUUCUUUAAAGACUGAAAACAUAUCAUGUCCUACAGUCUGAAAGGUUAUUUAUCCUCUUAUAACUGUAGUCAGCAUAUAGAAAUAAAGUGUUAGGGAUAUGGUGCACUUGAAUAUGGAAGCUCAGCAGCAUUUGCUCACUUAACUCCUAUUGGGUAUGCUGUCAUCUACAUAUCUGUCUUUAUGACCAUCUAUUUCACAUACAAAUAUGUCAAUAUACAACCAAUUGCAAUUAAAUGAAUUAAAUUACCUAAAACAUAUAACUGACAUAUCUGACAGAGUAAGCAGUUUCCUAUUUAAGUCACAUAGUUUUGUUAUUAUGGUUACUAGUUUUAUACAUCUCUAUCAAUUUAGCCCCAGUUGGGUAAAAUGGAAGUUACUGAAAUUCGGUUUCCAGUAGUAGUAGUAGUUUAGGACAGUAUUUUUGUUGAUUUUGACUGUAAUCUGGUGAAUGUUUCAGAAUAUCAAUUCAAAAUAUCCUUUAAUUACUAGGAAAUUUGACAAAAAUGACUAUCAAAAACUAGAGGCUUACAUUUUUUUUAUUGUUUUAGGUAUUUUUGGACACACAACAGACUGUGCAGUUAUUACCUAAACAGAUUUCUUCUCUGUGGGCUGAGUUGAAGAAUUUUAGGAGUCACUGAAAGAGCAACAUACAUUUCUGUUUUAGAUUCACAAACAGCAAAGCUAGAGGGUGCGUCUGUUUUUGUGUGUAUAUAUGUAGUUAAAGAACUACACUAUCAAAACAUUAAUUAUAUUUGAAAGAGCAGAGAACUUGUUGUAGAGAGAACUGCAUUACUGAAUUUAUAUUCCAUGGAAUGUGUCUGUGGAGAGGGCUAGAAUUGUAUACCUGUCUUAAAUGAUGCACCCUUUUCAGUGAGGUGCACAACAAGAGCAAAGAGAAGAAGGAUGCAAACUUGGAGGGGAGAGAUCUUUGAUAUCUGGAUGGUUCUAAACAGAGGGAAUUCAGGUGCAAAUGCAAAUCACAUGAAGAACAAGCAUGGGGUCUUUGUUUUCUGUCAACAAAAACAAAUAUAAUUUUUCCCUCUAUCAAAUAAUAAAUCACAGAAUGAUCUUAGCUGAAUUUGGAGCAGAGUAGGGGAAGAGAUUGAGUGACUAAGAAUACUCCAAUUAUCAUAGUUCUGAUCCCCAAGUCCUGUUUAUUUCACAGCUGCCAAAUUUUAUAUCCAAAAUUUAGAUUCUCUUCCUCCCAAAUCCUACAUUGGUAUGAAUCAUCUUUGAUCAUUUUUAGUUUUUGGCUUAAUUACUAGUUUUCAGCUUUAAAUUACCAAUAAACUAAUUAAUCUGACUAAUCUUUCUAAACUUCUGUUUAGUAUAAUAGCUGCAACAAAAACCAAAAUAAAAUAACAAGACUGCAGCAAUAAUGACAAAAAUAAAAUGUUAAUGAUAACAAUGCAAACAAUAAUAGCAGGAACAAUUUUAAAAUAAUUUCUCUGGCUGACAGGAUGAAGAUAGACUCCAUUUCAGCCUGAAAUUUGUGUUUUGCGGCUGCAGUUGGACAUUCCUCUGAUUUAUUGUUUCACUGGUUAGAUGGAUGAUCUGUCCCUGCCCAACUUAGCUCUGCUGGUGAAUAGGCAAGUUGUCAUAUUUGGGAAUCAUAUUCACAAAACUAAGGGAUUUGAGAAGGGCAAAGUAAAUGAGAUUCCUGUGAAUCCAAAGAGAACACUGGCUCUCAGGAAGUCAGGUUAUCGGCCAAGACAUAAACAUUAGAAAUUAGGGCCCUUUGGAUGAACACUUUUGAUUCCUUUAGGGAUGGAGGGAUGGAAAGGGGAUAAUAAAGUGAAGGGAAUAGAAGUGGAGGAAGGAGACCUUGUGGUGAUCUCAUUGGUAAAGCUAACCCAUCUCCUUAGGAGGAGGGAGAGGUUAUUUUUGUCAGUUGUAAACCUGCCAAGGUUGAUUGUUUUAGGUGGGAGAACAGCCGCCAGUGCCUGAGACUAGGCUGGGAAGAAUCUGCCAAUGAGCCUGUACUUGCAGAAAUCUAACUCUCCUCUCAGCCCAAUGUUCCUUCUAUCACCUGGGCCCACUGAGCAUAUUACCCUGAGAAAAAGGAACUGAGAGAAAUGAAAAACGGGUGGGGAAGGAAUUACACUAAUGUUUGUCAGGCAGAUGUUGAAGUUAAAGCAUGUUUGGUAAUUGCUUUCAUUUUGGAGGGGAAAGAAACCUGAUUGGGAGAGGAAGGGUUGUUAUAGGAGAGGAGAGCCUAGAACAGAACGAGAUAGAAGAGAUAGAAAUUCCUUGGCAGCCCAGCAGCUAGGGCCAAAUGGAAAAGGAUCUUAGCAAAGAAGGACAGUUUGAGAGCAAGGAAGGGUGACUAUUAAAUAUUUUUGCAGUUCUGUUUUCCUGCAAAUUAAUGUAGCCCUGAAAACUUAUGAGAAAUUUGCUUGCCUUGUUAAGUAACAAUUACGAAAAGAAAGGCAUAACUAUCAAUAGCCAGUUUUGUCCUCAAGAAAACUUUUUUUCUUUAUAUAUUAUCAUAGACACAAAAUGCAUAGCCAAACCAAGCAGUAGUUGAAGAAAGAAAGGGAAAGGAAAAAAAGAAGGAUGCAGCUUCCCUGCUGGUCAUGCUGUGCAUCUAUCCCUUUACCUUUCAGAGCGGGGAACCAUCUUUUUUCAUUUCUGUCUAAUCUUUUCACUUAAAAAUGUAUGAAAAUAUUCCAGUUCAUGAGACUGUUUUUCACUAAAUAUCAGAAGAGAAUGAGAAGCUUUUAUUUCUAGGGAUAAAUUCACUGAGGUGAUAUUCAGUCUGCAACAGGGAGAAAGACAGCUUUGGCUGAAACUGUAUAUUGCUCUGCUCACCAGUGGUACCCUCAGGCUUCCCUGUGCACUACUAAUAACUACUAAAUUCACUUGAACUCUUCUGGAACUCAACAACUUGAAAUAAAACUGGAUCUUUCCAUAUAAAAUCCAACUCUAAUUAGAAUAUUUUAUGGAAAAUAUUCUCAGUUAUUGUGAUUAACUGUUUGAAUUGUCCAUUUGAUUAAAGGCAUUUAUCGUUUGUUUCAAUAAUACAAUUAAAAGAAAUCAAUAUCACCAAUAAAAGUAGCUCUCAAUACUGUUAUGUACAUCCCAAAAAUACGGCUUUUAAAAAUUGAUUUUUAAACAAUCUGGUUUUAAUUGUAUAUAACAGAACCUCUGAGUCACUGGAGACUUGCCUAACUAAAAGAAAUUAAGUUAAUACUUUCGUAAUGGGAAUAUUUGACAGAAACUACAGAAACAAUAAAAGCAAAUGUUUUACAAAGUGGUAAACCUUAUGCAGAUAUUCACCUGCACUCAGUUUAUGCACUCACAACAAAAUUAGUAGGCUUUUAUAUCCCAUAUCUUAGAAACAUCUUUAACCAAUGUAUAUAAAUGCUUAUGCAUAUGUAUUAAACACACGAUGCAGCAUAUAGUUAGAAUAUAUACAUUUAUUUUUAAAAAUAAACUAAGAACUAAGCAAAUAUUAGCAUUUCUAACUUUUUUAACCACGAAUGAUUGGUGUGUAUUUGUGAUCCAUAAACAAUGAAGGAAAGCCAGAACUAUGGACAGACAUUCUACUUUGUAUUGUGAAGCAAAUAUAGGUUUCUUUCUGUUUGGAGGUGUGAAAAAGUGAAGAAUUUAGGAGUGAGUAGAAUUAAGAUUUAUAUAUGUUUUCAGUAAACCAAGAUGUAGUUAUUUCAUUCUUUAAACAUUCCCAUUCUACAAUUAAAUAAAAGAAAUAUAGUUUCAAAGACAGGAGAGGUAAGCCCAAGUCCAGCUAUGUCUCGGAAAAGAAAUGGGUUUCCGAGAUAAAAAAUGAUGUUAACAUUUUUUUCCGACCAAGAAUUUUUCAAGGUAGAUAUAGCCAGAUCUAUUGCAUAUGUGGCAAAGCAAAUAUUUCAGAAAUGUGCUGUGGGGGGAUUUAAUGGACUGACACUCUUUGAAUAGUUAUGAUGAGUAAUACUCCUUUGAAGAGAAUUGUGUGCUUAUCACACUCCUUAAAAAUGGGGGAGGGAGAGAAGUUUGAGAGGUGGACAUGUCCUAGCAUCCUAGCUAUUGCUAAUAGCAGAGGGGUGUGACCUGUGUAGAAAAGGAAGGGAUUCUAUGCCAGGAGAAGAGCUGUAAAAAUCAUUGGUCCUAUCAUGUUUAUUUCCUUUUAGGUACACAUUCAAAGACAUGUCCUUUCCACUAGGCUCUCAUUUGCAGUUAUGGCUUCACAGAGAGUAGCCAGCCUGUAUUAAAGCACAAUCCAAAGCAUUAGUCCAGUUUUGGAAAGAAGACAGUGGACAGGAAAAAUAAAGGGACACUCGUAAUGCAAUUCUCAUUGGCAGUUGGAGAAUAGGGAAGAAGACUUCAAAAUAGGGUGGCGGGAGAAGAGCAGCUCUUUAGGUGAGUUUUGGGAAGAUGCUAAGUAAAAUGCUGUUCAGAAAUUGGGAUUAAUUGAGCAGUUUAAAUACAAAUCUGCCGGAAAUCGGGCUCUGUGCGAAUGAAAAUGAAGAAAUUUAUGCAUAUUCUAAUUUUCCCUCUUUGGCUGCUAUUUUGGAGGAAGAGACUUCUUUUGCUGAUGGUGGGACUUUUUUGUUCUGCACAGGAAAUGUGUAAAUGAACACAAAUGUGUGUGUUUUUCCUUUUCCAUUUCUCUCCUCCAUCCCUCCUCCCCCUUUCAACAAUCAGAAAUUGUUAGGGUGCUUAAUUCUGCAGCUACGGACCCCAGGGUUUCUCCCAAUUCCCAGGAUGGUAGGGAGCAAGCAGCGCAGGGAGGGGAGUUGAGGCUACCCUGGUCACUAACCUUUGGAAAUUAACCUAGAGUUUCCAUUCCAUCAUUGAACAUUCAAAAAGAAUGGAGAGCAAGGAGGAGUCAAAUAUUUAAUAUGAUGACAAAUCGCAGAAAGCUAUUUCUUCUCACAGCCUAAAUCUCAGUAACAACUAGGUUGGGGGGAGCUUAAAAGUGAUCUUAUAAGCCAUGUUGCGCAUAUCCAUUGACCAUCAGCGCCAAGUCCAAACACUUUCCCUCUCGCGCUUUGGGAACACCUAAGGCUGGCGCAUUUUAAUUGUAUUAAGAUCCACAAGAAACUCUAGCUCUCCUACUCUGAUGUAAGUAAGUCGCCCAAUGCUGAGAACGAAUGAAGUGGAGCGCUCCGGUAGUUUUUGUGUUCCGCGGAAUAUGUAAGGGACUCCUGAGACGGUCCAAUGAAGUGUGUGGGAUGAAGGUAGGGGCGGGGGCGACUCGGUCUCUGGGGAGAGGGAAGGAGGGCCGAGCGGCGGGACGGUUGGAGAGCGAGAGAGGAAAAGAGAGGUGCUCCCUGCCCUCUUACUCCCGCAUUUGCAGGCCAAGCUGAGAGCUUCAGAAUUAAUUCCGGGGCGGGGAAGACAAACAGAGACAGAGACCGAGUGUUUCUAUAUUCUUUUCUAUACCCCAGACAAAAACCCUGAAGCCAACUUCACUCUUAACAAUUUAAUUUGAAAAGGGCCCUGCAGUGCCCUCUUCGCUGCUCCCACAGCGCCGCGCGAGCCCGGGGCUGAAGCCGAAGCCGGCCCUCCGCCAGGUCGACCACCGGCUCCGCCGCACAAGCAGUGUCCUCAGAGAAAGGCGGCCAGAACAAAGCCCCCGCUACGCGUUCCUGCCUCAGAUACAUUCUCGGUGCCCACGUCGCGGCUCCGGGCCCCCAGGGCUCUCUUUCUAACACUCCAUCAGCCAGGACCCUCCCCGCCUCCCAUUCCAGUCUUCCUCUCUUGGGAAGAGGGCGCAGCAAGGCCGACGCCAGGCUGGCCGCACCCCCACCCCGCCAUCGCGACUCGACGCCAGGCGUCCAUACCCCUCUGCGUACCGGUGUUGGGGGCGUAGGUGGCCCUGGAAAAAGCUGGGAGAAGAGCGCGGACCCUCGCUGCAGACCUCACGCCAAGGUUACCAUCACAUCUAGGAACCUCUUCGGAAAAGGUCCAAAAUGCCUAUUUUGCAGAAAGCUUGCUGUGGUGUGAAGGGGCCUCGAGGUCAGAAAACCCCCUAAGAGGCCUCGUAAGGUCUGGGUGCAGAGUCAAGCCCUGCUCAGGCCCAUUUCUCCCGCGCACUCCAGGUCCC